rnacentral:rRNA from 1 species
AUUGAACGCUGGCGGAACGCUUUACACAUGCAAGUCGAACGGCAGCACGGGUGCUUGCACCUGGUGGCGAGUGGCGAACGGGUGAGUAAUACAUCGGAACGUACCCAGUUGUGGGGGAUAACUAACCGAAAGGUUAGCUAAUACCGCAUACGACCUGAGGGUGAAAGCGGGGGACCGUAAGGCCUCGCGCAAUUGGAGCGGCCGAUGUCUGAUUAGCUAGUUGGUAGGGUAAAGGCCUACCAAGGCGACGAUCAGUAGCUGGUCUGAGAGGAUGAUCAGCCACACUGGAACUGAGACACGGUCCAGACUCCUACGGGAGGCAGCAGUGGGGAAUUUUGGACGAUGGGCGAAAGCCUGAUCCAGCCAUUCCGCGUGAGUGAAGAAGGCCUUCGGGUUGUAAAGCUCUUUCGGCAGGGAAGAAACGGCCUAGGUUAAUACCUUGGGCUAAUGACGGUACCUGAAGAAGAAGCACCGGCUAACUACGUGCCAGCCGCCGCGGUAA